AUGGCCCAUGCAAACGUGUGGCUCCAGCAGGCCGUGGAGCGUGUCCAUGGAAGCACCGGCAUCAGCUUCGUCUUCCCACCGAAACCGAAUGAUUGUUCUUCGGAGUCUUCCGGCGACCGGGUCGUGUUGGAUUUGCCCUGCGGCGGAAGGACGACGGCUUUGUCGCUGGACGUCUCCUCGGAUGGCAUCGGAACCCUCAGAGUGCCGCCGGUAUCCGCUGCGUUGUCCAGCUCGCUUACAGAGCUGAGUCUGAAGUCCCUACGGCUCGACGGCAGCCGCUUCUCCGAUUUCGUGUCAUCUUGCUGCCCUCACCUUAGAAAGCUCUUCCUGCACACCUUCGGCGGCAUGGACUACCUCAGGCUCUCCAACGACGCCCUGGAAGAUCUUGAUCUGGACUUCGCCUCAGGCAGCUGCCGCGGCCUCCGACAGCUGCAGGUGUCGUCGCGCAACCUUCGCCGCCUACGCAUCCACGACAUCUUUGUUAGUUUUAAUCUUGUCAUGGUCAUGUAUCUGCAUGGGAGAUGCUGA
rnacentral:rRNA from 1 species